rnacentral:tRNA from 1 species
CCUUCGAUAGCUCAGUUGGUAGAGCGGUGGACUGUAUAAACCAGUAUAAAAUGCUUGGCAUUAAUGCAUAUACCGUUGGAUUUCGAUGCUUAAUUGAUAACCAACACUAUGCAGUCAUCCACAGGUCGCCAGUUCAAAUCCGGCUCGAAGGA